GAACGAGUGAAAGCAGUGGGCCGAUGGGCAAAAAAAAAGGGGAGACCAGCCGAUAGGAGAAGCUCUGGCCGAUGGACAGAGAGUAUAGAUGUACAUGCAGCCCGCAGCCCGAUAGCCCAGCACGAAGUUCGAUUUUUUAGCCCGUCCCAAGCCUAGCCCGGCCCGUACCUCUUCGGGCUCGGGCUGGCCUGGCCCGAUGCCUCGUGCCGAGCGUGGGCCGUCGCCUAGGCCCGACGGGCGGCACAGCCCGGCACGAAACUAACGACCGGCCCAUUACUGGCCCAUGUCUCACCCUUAUCCAUUCCACACUCGAUCUUAU
rnacentral:lncRNA from 1 species